rnacentral:rRNA from 1 species
UACAGAGGUCUCGAGCGUUAGGCGGAAUCACUGGGCUUAAAGCGUGUGUAGGCGGAUCGUUAAGUACCUUGUGAAAUCCCACGGCUUAACCGUGGAACUGCUUGGUAUACUGGCGGUCUUGAGCCAGCUAGGGGCUACCGGAACAAACGGUGGAGCGGUGAAAUGCGUAGAUAUCAUUUGGAACGCCAAUGGUGAAAACAGGUAGCUGGGGCUGUGCUGACGCUGAGACACGAAAGCCAGGGGAGCAAACGGG